rnacentral:rRNA from 1 species
UACGAAGGGGGCUAGCGUUGCUCGGAAUCACUGGGCGUAAAGCGCACGUAGGCGGAUUGUUAAGUCAGGGGUGAAAUCCUGGAGCUCAACUCCAGAACUGCCUUUGAUACUGGAGAUCUUGAGUCGGGAGAGGUGAGUGGAACUGCGAGUGUAGAGGUGAAAUUCGUAGAUAUUCGCAAGAACACCAGUGGCGAAGGCGGCUCACUGGCCGGUACUGACGCUGAGGUGCGAAAGCGUGGGGAGCAAACAGGAUUAGAAUC